AACAUCGCCCUUCGUAUAAUUUUAUGAGGGGUUGGACCUGCCCGGUGAUUGGUCAAAUUUUGAAGUUAUUAAAUUAAUUAGAGAUUUUUUUAAACGGCUGCAAUUAGUAGUUGUGCUAAGGUAGCGUAAUCAUUUGCCCCUUAAUUAGGGGAAGGUAUGAAUGGUUUGACGUGGGAAAAGCUGUCUCUUUUAUAUAAAAGGAAGUUUAUUUUUGAGUGAAAAAGCUUAGAUGUUUAUAAAAGACGAGAAGACCCUAUCGAACUUGAAUUAUGUAUUAUAGAUUUAUAAUAUAGAAAGUUUAGUUGGGGAAACUUAAAGUUAAGAAAAACGCUUUUUUGUUGUAAAAUGAUCCUGUAUUAUAGAAAAAUGAAAAAGUUACCGUAGGGAUAACAGCGCU
rnacentral:rRNA from 1 species